rnacentral:misc_RNA from 1 species
AGGACCCUGCCGUUCAUUUGAAUCAACUGCUUUUCUAUUGAGAUUCCACAAGCUACAAGAAGGGGAUCAUCGUCAUAGCUGUAGUCCCUCACAGCAUCUGUUAUAACUUUAAUUCUUUCACGAGGCUUCUGCCUUGAUUUUUCAACUAAAGAUGCCCUCUGGACCGAUGAUAAUGCCUUUGUGUAUCUUUGAAGGGAGACCAAAUAACACAGCUCCAGUGGCAGAUAGUUUGGUCGUUUUGGUUUUCCAACGUCCAGACAUGGCAUAUAAACUGAGGAUGAAAGUUCUAUGUUACGAUGUUUAGUGAAAUACUGAUAAACAGUUAUAUCUAGGGUCUCUCCUCCAUCAUCUGGACUACCACCAUUUUUGACCUUCAUA